rnacentral:rRNA from 1 species
AAACCAGCACCUCAAGUUGUCAGGAGGAUUAUUGGGCCUAAAGCAUCCGUAGCCUGCUCUGUAAGUUUCCGGUUAAAUCCAUUUGCUCAACAAAUGGGCUGCCGGAAAAACUGUAAAGCUAGGGAGUGGGAGAGGUAGACGGUACUCGGUAGGAAGGGGUAAAAUCCUUUGAUCUAGUGAUGACCACCUGUGGCGAAGGCGGUCUACCAGAACACGUUCGACGGUGAGGGAUGAAAGCUGGGGGAGCAAACCGGAUUAGAAACCCGAGUAGUCC